GGCGAGGUAGCUCAGUGGUUUAGAGCAGCGGAAUCAUAAUCCGUGUGUCGGGAGUUCAAAUCUCCCCCUCGCUACCA
rnacentral:tRNA from 5 species